rnacentral:rRNA from 1 species
GACGAACGCUGGCGGCGUGCUUAACACAUGCAAGUCGAACGGUGAAGCUCCAGCUUGCUGGAGUGGAUCAGUGGCGAACGGGUGAGUAACACGUGAGCAACCUGCCCCUGACUCUGGAAUAAGCGCUGGAAACGGCGUCUAAUACUGGAUACGAGAAGGGUCCGCAUGGGCACUUUCUGGAAAGUUUUUCGGUUGGGGAUGGGCUCGCGGCCUAUCAGCUUGUUGGUGAGGUAAUGGCUCACCAAGGCGACGACGGGUAGCCGGCCUGAGAGGGCGACCGGCCACACUGGGACUGAGACACGGCCCAGACUCCUACGGGAGGCAGCAGUGGGGAAUAUUGCACAAUGGGCGAAAGCCUGAUGCAGCGACGCCGCGUGAGGGAUGGCGGCCUUCGGGUUGUAAACCUCUUUCAGCAGGGAAGAAGCGAAAGUGACGGUACCUGCAGAAGAAGCACCGGCUAACUACGUG